UACGUAGGGUGCAAGCGUUACUCGGAAUUACUGGGCGUAAAGCGUGCGCAGGCGGUGAUGUAAGACAGGUGUGAAAUCCCCGGGCUUAACCUGGGAACUGCAUUUGUGACUGCAUUGCUGGAGUGCGGCAGAGGGGGAUGGAAUUCCGCGUGUAGCAGUGAAAUGCGUAGAUAUGCGGAGGAACACCGAUGGCGAAGGCAAUCCCCUGGGCCUGCACUGACGCUCAUGCACGAAAGCGUGGGGAGCAAACAGG
rnacentral:rRNA from 1 species